ACGUUGUUUAUAAAGCUGUUUUUAAAGUAAAUUGUAAACUUAUGUAAGUUAUGAAAUAAAUCGUAAGGCGUCUUAAGAGUCCCAUACGGCUUUGAGGAUUAAAGAAAUAAUUGAUGUUAACCACAGAAACGCUGGGUAGCUCAUUGUGAAAGUCACGUAUUCCUCCUCCCAAGGAGGACUGCGUGCAGCAGCCAAGCAACACAGGCCAAAAGGUAUUUUC